UCGUUUUGGACGUUAUUUUUUUUUAUUUGGGGGUGCUUUGGACCCUUCCGGAGCUGUUAGUGAGGGUUUCAAAGAUGUUUUUCUUAUCAAAAUGUGAGUAUCAAUAUGCCAUGAAGGAAUUAUGUUAUUGUAUUAUUUUUGAUGACUUGUGUGAGUGUUUCUAUUUAUUUGAUGUAUGAUCAGUAGUCUCGUGUAUUAGUGUACUAUGUGAAUGUGAAGUGAUAUCAAUAGUUUCAAAGGUAUGGGAAAUAGUUCCAAGAAGGAAAUUCUCAAUGGUGGUUUCAAGUGUGUUAAUAUGAAUGCAGGGAGCUCAGUAUAUGGGGUUAUCCUGACACUCUAAUGGUCAUACAUUCUCAAAUAGAGAGGUUAGACGAAUGUAGUGAGAGUAGCAGGAGGUCCGAGCCUGAGGGACCUUUCUCCAUUUGGCAAAAGGGCGUUUGAGGUCCAACGUUGUGAUGUGUGGUAGGGUGAAACCCAAUUGGCAAGGGUUUUUCAAAGUAGUAGUGGCCACCACAAGUGCACCACCCGCCAUAGCUCGACAUUCAUGCUAAGUUCGGACAGUCCAGUCAAAGUAUUGUCAUGCAUAAUUAGUUUGGUUGGUCUGUGUGAUAUGUGUUUCAUGUGUAUACUUUUUAACAUGUUCUAAUAUAUCAUUAAUUGUUUGUACUUUAGCUUACCCUUGCUUGUGUGCUUUCUAUCUAUGUGUUUUUUUCUCUUUUGCAAUGAUCACCUAAAUGGUGUGAGCUUAGGGAAACAAUCUUUUCAGUUGUUCCAGCGAGAGAUGAGAGUGAAGUAGAUGGGCCGUCAGAUGGUUCUACAAGUGUAGAUAAUUUUUUGUUUUUUUUGUUGGCCAUGUUUUGCACUCAAGCUAUAAAAUCAGCAACUCCCUAUUUUCAUCCAUCUCUAUAUGUUCAAACUCUCUUUUGAAAACUUGUACUCGGACCUGCCUCACGCAGAUAUCUCCUUUGUAUGCCACCUCCAGAAUUUCCCAAGAUUAUUUUGCUGACUUUGUAUUAGUUGUUUUCUCGAACCUCAAUUCAUCCACUGCAUUAUAUAGAAAGUACAAAGUCGAUCUUUCUUUUAGUCGUGUCUUUUUCAAUGCAGCAAAGUCUUAUGUUCAUCAUCUGCGGGUUCAUUGUACCUAUCCUCCAUAAUGUCCUAUAAAUUUUGGGAUCCAAGAAGAACCUUCAUCUGCAAAGACCAAUUGUCAUAAUUGAUCUUUUUUGACAACUGUGGCACUCUCAUUCCGUUGACUACCUUUGUGAUUUCUCUCACAAGACACUUAAGCACCCGAUGUUUUCCUCAUAGUGUUUGACUCCCCCCUCUCUCUCUUUCUUUGACUCCCUA
rnacentral:lncRNA from 1 species